GCAAUUAUACAGCGAAACUGCGAAUGGCUCAUUAUAUAAGUUAUCGUUUAUUUGAUAGUACCUUACUACUUGGAUAACCGUGGUAAUUCUAGAGCUAAUACAUGCUAAAAAUCCCGACUUCGGAAGGGAUGUAUUUAUUAGAUUAAAAACCAAUGCCCUCUGGGCUCUCUGGUGAUUCAUGAUAACUUCUCGAAUCGCAUGGCCUUGCGCCGGCGAUGGUUCAUUCAAAUUUCUUCCCUAUCAACUUUCGAUGUUUGGGUAUUGGCCAAACAUGGUCGCAACGGGUAACGGAGGGUUAGGGCUCGACCCCGGAGAAGGAGCCUGAGAAACGGCUACUACAUCCAAGGAAGGCAGCAGGCGCGCAAAUUACCCAAUCCCGACACGGGGAGGUAGUGACAAUAAAUACUGAUACAGGGCUCUUUCGGGUCUUGUAAUUGGAAUGAGUACAAAUUUAAAUCCCUUAACGAGGAACAAUUGGAGGGCAAGUCUGGUGCCAGCAGCCGCGGUAAUUCCAGCUCCAAUAGCGUAUAUUAAAGUUGUUGUGGUUAAAAAGCUCGUAGUUGAACCUUGGGCCUGGCUGGCCGGUCCGCCUCACCGCGUGUACUGGUCCGGCCGGGCCUUUCCCUCUGUGGAACCUCAUGCCCUUCACUGGGCGUGACGGGGAAACAGGACUUUUACUGUGAAAAAAUUAGAGUGCUCCAGGCAGGCCUAUGCUCGAAUACAUUAGCAUGGAAUAAUGAAAUAGGACGUGCGGUUCUAUUUUGUUGGUUUCUAGGACCGCCGUAAUGAUUAAUAGGGACAGUCGGGGGCAUCAGUAUUCAAUUGUCAGAGGUGAAAUUCUUGGAUUUAUUGAAGACUAACUACUGCGAAAGCAUUUGCCAAGGAUGUUUUCAUUAAUCAGGAACGAAAGUUAGGGGAUCGAAGACGAUCAGAUACCGUCGUAGUCUUAACCAUAAACUAUGCCGACUAGGGAUCGGACGAUUGAAAUAAUUGACUCGUUCGGCACCUUACGAGAAAUCAAAGUGUUUGGGCU
rnacentral:rRNA from 1 species